UCAUAGUGUUCAUAUCAUCAAUUCAUAUUUAGCAUCGUUUAGCACUUUGAAAUCAUUUUAACAUGAAUGAUGGAAUGUAACACAUACAAGACAACUUUAAAACUCUUAUCAUUGUAAUUAAGUCAUGAAAAUCCUCUUUUCAAGAUCAGAAUGUAUAUCAUGUAGUACUCAUGUACAUUAGCUUUGAUAUGACAAACUCUUCUUUGAAAAAUUCCUUUAACACAAAGCCUAAUAAGG
rnacentral:lncRNA from 1 species